rnacentral:rRNA from 1 species
UUACGGGUAGGCAGCAGUGAGGAAUAUUGCACAAUGGGGGAAACCCUGAUGCAGCAACGCCGCGUGGAGGAUGACGCAUUUCGGUGUGUAAACUCCUUUUAUAAGUGCAAGAAAAUGACGGUAGCUCUAUGAAUAAGGCACCGGCUACUCCGUGCCGCGCCGC